GACGAACGCUGGCGGCGUGCUUAACACAUGCAAGUCGAACGGAAAGGCCCUGCUUUUGUGGGGUGCUCGAGUGGCGAACGGGUGAGUAACACGUGAGUAACCUGCCCUUGACUUUGGGAUAACUUCAGGAAACUGGGGCUAAUACCGGAUAGGAGCUCCUGCCGCAUGGUGGGGGUUGGAAAGUUUCGGCGGUUGGGGAUGGACUCGCGGCUUAUCAGCUUGUUGGUGGGGUAGUGGCUUACCAAGGCUUUGACGGGUAGCCGGCCUGAGAGGGUGACCGGCCACAUUGGGACUGAGAUACGGCCCAGACUCCUACGGGAGGCAGCAGUGGGGAAUAUUGCACAAUGGGCGGAAGCCUGAUGCAGCAACGCCGCGUGCGGGAUGACGGCCUUCGGGUUGUAAACCGCUUUCGCCUGUGACGAAGCGUGAGUGACGGUAAUGGGUAAAGAAACACCGGCUAACUACGU
rnacentral:rRNA from 1 species